UAGUAAAAAUAGGACCGAAACGACAGUUGGAUAAGCAAUUUUUGCGACGAAGAAAAGAUAAUAUUGUAAUAAGUGUUAAAAUUAAGUGUUUUGUGCCGGAAGUAUUUGUUCGAAUGUUUAAAUGUUCAAUGACCACUGCUCAACAAGAGCCUCCUGACAAAAUUGCUACUGUUUCUAAUCCUUGAAAAAGGUGUUAAAUACAUCGAAACGUCGGACAUUGAAACAAAUUAGCUUUUGAUUUCCUAAAGAGACUGCUACGCCGAUAAAAUAUUACUGCCA